GAUGAACGCUCGCUACAGGCUUAACACAUGCAAGUCGAGGGGAAACGACAUCGAAAGCUUGCUUUUGAUGGGCGUCGACCGGCGCACGGGUGAGUAACGCGUAUCCAACCUGCCCAUCACUUGGGAAUAACCUUGCGAAAGUAAGACUAAUACCCAAUGAUAUCCCACGAAGGCAUCGGAAUGGGAUUAAAGAUUUAUCGGUGAUGGAUGGGGAUGCGUCUGAUUAGCUUGUUGGCGAGGUAACGGCCCACCAAGGCAACGAUCAGUAGGGGUUCUGAGAGUAAGGUCCCCCACAAUGGAACUGAGACACGGUCCAAACUCCUACGGGAGGCAGCAGUGAGGAAGAUUGGUCGAUGAGCGAGAGCCUGAACCAGCCAAGUAGGGUACAGGAAGACGGCCCUAUGGAUUGUAAACUGCUUUUAUAAGGGAAUAAAGUGGGUCACGUGUGACUUUUUGCAUGUACCUAAUGAAUAAGGACCGGCUAAUUCCGUG
rnacentral:rRNA from 1 species